CCUACGGGAGGCUGCAGUGAGGAAUAUUGGUCAAUGGGCGAGAGCCUGAACCAGCCAAGUCGCGUGAAGGAUGAAGGCCCUACGGGUUGUAAACCUCUUUUGUCAGGGAGCAAUGGGGUCCACGCGUCGGCUUAGCGAGAGUACCUGAAGAAAAAGCAUCGGCUAACUCCGUGCCAGCAGCCGCGGUAAUACGGAGGAUGCGAGCGUUAUCCGGAUUUAUUGGGUUUAAAGGGUGCGUAGGCGGAAUAUCAAGUCAGCGGUAAAAAUUCGGGGCUCAACCCCGUCGUGCCGUUGAAACUGGUGUUCUUGAGUGGGCGAGAAGUAUGCGGAAUGCGUGGUGUAGCGGUGAAAUGCAUAGAUAUCACGCAGAACUCCGAUUGCGAAGGCAGCAUACCGGCGCCCAACUGACGCUGAGGCACGAAAGCGUGGGGAUCGAACAGGAUUAGAUACCCUGGUAGUC
rnacentral:rRNA from 1 species